UGUUGAUGGGUGGUGGUUUCAAGUGCGGGAUUACAGCAAGUAAACUGCUUUGUUUUUAUUCCAUGAAAAGAGUAUAACUACCACGGUUAGCAUUCUCAAAGCUCUGUACACGCUGAUCUUUGCAACAUUCCCAUGAGGUUUUUUCCAAUUGAUACUCAAAAUUGAACACCUUGAAAUAAGAAGACUCUUGAGAAGCAAACCCUGAUGGUUCAAGGACCGAUAUUAGCCUUCUGAAGCUCUUCCUAGAGAUUUGACUUUUGAUAAGGAUAUUGUCCUCAAAUCAGACAUCCAGAGAGAACCAGAGACUCCACAGAAAACUUGAGACCCAGAUAAGAAGAUAGCAUAAACUGGAAGAGCAAAUGACCUCCAAGUCCAAGACACACCAGGAGGCUGCUCCAGAGCUACUGGUACACAGGAGAGGGGAUCAAGAUCUCUUGUGGACUCUGGUCACCAGCUGCCCACGUAACCCACACUCCCAUAUUUCCUCUCCUUGGUUAUCAGUGCACUGAGGGAUGCUACUCACCCAUGUCUUCCUUUGGCACAGCACCAGGAUUCUGCUUUUGGAUACAGAAUUUGGGAAGCAAAAUUCUGAAUUCUCUAGUUCUCAGUAUUUAUUUGUCUUGUGUUUCUGUGUCUUGCAAUACGUAAAUCAGCAGCUGUCAUGACUGGAGUUACUGUCAGGUAGCUGCAUCCUGGGUCUUAGCCACAACAGACAAAAGACACAGCACAAACAGUGGAAAACAACCAAAAUUUAAAAUAAAAUGUAACAAAACAAAGACACUGCUGUGCCGAAUUCUCUUUUGGUAAAUCAGCACAGAGUCAUUGUUAUUUACAUCAGCUAAGCAGAAGAAUGGAAACUGCUGACGGAAUGGGAGCUCAUAUGCACGAGUCGCCUCUCAUUGAAUUUCCAUGCUCUCGUGACCUAGUAGUGUUGAAGGGACAUUUGGCAGAAGCUGCUUUCCAGAUUUUUUUCUUCCCAAUGAAUGAAUUUUUGCAUUCCAGGUGCAUACUGGAGGUUUCCAGAAAGUUUUCUAAUGGUGAAAAAACAAUUCAGGCUAUGAGCUUGAAAUUAGUCAGCUUGCAUCUCAGGCAAAAGCUACUUGCCAGGCAGAUCUACUAGGGUAGAACAGCCUCCUAAGGGAAGCAAUGGAAAUUUCAUAUCUUGACACAUCACAGGCUACACAGGAUAAGGGACUAGCACAUGCAUAAGAAGAAGCAAUCUUGCUUUUCAAGAGAGAUAAGUUCAAACACUGAGCUGCUGAGAUACUUUGGGGACAAGUGUGAUGUGAGGUCUAAAAUAAACAGAGCACUUCAUUGCACUAUCAGUAAUGAGCUGUAAAGAACUAUCCUGUUUGCUGUACUGUGCUAAUAGGGUUGAAAAUACUGUAAAAUACUGAACACCAUAAAUGCUUGUUUAUAAAGGAAAUAAAGUAUUUUCUAGGGGAGGAAAAAAAAAAAACUUUGGUAAUCGUAUUUGUGAAAUAUAACUAAAAAGCCAAAACAUACAUUGAAAAUCCCCCACAAAAGCGGUGCAUAAUUUUGGAAAGACAUCUCAGAGAAACUACCGUUUCUAACACUGUUUCUAGUGUACAUUUCUGUUGCCUUAUAUACACAAUUUAAUUACCAUGGGUUUCAGCUUGUUUUUUCAAAUGGGAGUUAUGAUCAGUAUGGAUACCUUUCA